CGGUCCAGACUCCUACGGGCAGCAGAGGGAAUCUUCCGCAAUGGGCGAAAGCCUGACGGAGCAACGCCGCGUGAGUGAUGAAGGGUUUCGGCUCGUAAAACUCUGUUAUUAGGGAAGAACAAAUGUGUAAGUAACUGUGCACAUCUUGACGGUACCUAAUCAGAAAGCCACGGCUAACUACGUGCCAGCAGCCGCGGUAA
rnacentral:rRNA from 1 species